rnacentral:tRNA from 1 species
UAGCCUAAUGGUUAAGGCUAUGGAUCGCCAAUUCGGAGACGGCGGGUUCGAUUCCCGU